AAUCUGUUAAUCUCCAUCUUGAUUGAGCAUAUUUUCUCCAUCUUCAAUCUUGAUCACCACUACUACAAUCUAUGCCCUGAUACCGUCUAGCUCUGAUACCAAUUGUUGCGAUAUCACUUGCUCGGAUAUCUCUUGUUGUGCAAGAUCUAGUACCAUGUGUUGCAGUAGGAAGAAAGAAAAAAUAAAAUAAAAAAAUAAUUAAGCACGA
rnacentral:lncRNA from 1 species